ensembl:snoRNA SNORD24 Small nucleolar RNA SNORD24
UGCCACAGUGAUGACACUUAUUUGCUACUCUUGACCAAGGGAGUGAUGAGCACUUUAACCACCAUAACAGUUUUCUGAGGCA